rnacentral:lncRNA from 1 species
CAAGUGAGUCCUAGCCUAAUCAAGGGUUGAAGGUCUAAUUUCUGUUUAUUUUUACAGUAUUUUGAUUUUCCAUUGCAAACUAGAUGUUUAUUCUGUAGAUUUUGUAUUUAUCUAGAACGUAUUUAUGUUUAUUUUGUAGGUAAUUUUGUCUAUAUUUGGAGAGGAGGAGCGUAAAAAUAGAGAAAAAAGCAUAAGCAUAGAUCCCAACAAUUAAUAAUCCUUUUAAAAAAAAUUAAGAUCUAACAUGGUGCGGUUUUGAGACGAUAAGAAUAAUGGGCGGAACGGGAUAAAUAGGUUCUAGCAUUUAAUAAAAUAUAUUUUUUAAUAACCUCGUUAUAUUGCAUCUAAAUAUUUCUAGAUGCAAAACUUUUAUAUUUUUUAUUAAACCCAAGUUGAAUCAUGCUCUUAAUAUAUUAUUUUAAUAUAUUAUUUUACUAUAACGAUACAUAUACAUAUACUAUUAGAAUUUUGAAUAAUAAUACUAUAUCAUAAUAUCAAUAUCAAAUAAAUAUUUUAAAAAAUAAUUAGACCCUUAUAUCUAAUAUAUUCUAUUCUAUUUUUAUUAUCUAGUCUAUUUAUCUAUUCUAUAUUGUAGAAUAAAGAAAAAAAAGCUGCAACCCAUACAAUAUGCUAGUAAUUUUCUAAAUUGAUAAUAAAAAAUUACUUAGCUAAAUUAUUUAGAUAUCUAUCUUUUAUUCAAUGAAAUUUUUAUAACCUUUUUAGUUCAAUCAUUAAUUCAUAAAGGGAUGGUUAAACUAAAAGGGUGUGAGUAACUCGGAAGGAGUCGUGGGAUGGAAUGAUGCAGAAGGCGUCAUUCUUUAGAGUGUGAAGCAUAGAGUGUAUACCUUGAUUAACUUCCAAUUACACGGCUAGCUCCUCAUAAAUAAAUCAAAAGCAUAGAGUGUGAAGCAAACUUGUGGUAGAUUGGAUUGCUUUUUCCCUUUUCUGGAGAACCGGGAGGCUAUACCGCAUAUUCUACUUGGCAUCUGGCCGUCCAAUCUAAGGGUGAGAGGUAUCUGGGAUGUCUAGGACCAGAAUUUUAUUCCAGAAAAAACUCCGAGCAGGCCAAAAAGUUUUAGUCUUUAGAUGAAAGCGUGUACUUCUGAGCUCACCAGGAUAUUGGGCCAGCUAAGUGAGAGAGAGAUGCAUUUGCCUACAAUUUAUCCAUAAAAAUAAAAUUUCUAUAUUUCACAUAAAAAAUAUAUUGAAAAUCACUUUUUACCGACUACAAAUUGAAUUUUUUUUCUAAAAAUAUCUUUAAGCUUUUCGAUAUAAUGAAUAAAAUCCUUCUCUUUAUUAAAAGCAUCGCAUAACAAAUAUUUUUCACAAUUUUUUUAAAAAUAAAUAUUUAAUUAAAUAUAACAUAAACCAUUUUUUUCUUAAUCAACAAAACAUACAAAAAUUAUUUUUUUAUAUCAUAUAUUUAUGGACAACUAAACAUGCAAAAAUUAUUUUUUUUAGACAUGAAGGUGAAAUUUUUUCAGCAGGUCCCUGAUACCCUAGAGAAAGGUUAGUAAGAACACCAAAUA